GACGAACGCUGGCGGCGUGCUUAACACAUGCAAGUCGAACGGAAAGGCCCUGCUUUUGUGGGGUGCUCGAGUGGCGAACGGGUGAGUAACACGUGAGUAACCUGCCCUUGACUUUGGGAUAACUUCAGGAAACUGGGGCUCAUACCGGAUAGGAGCUCCUGCUGCAUGGUGGGGGUUGGAAAGUUUCGGCGGUUGGGGAUGGACUCGCGGCUUAUCAGCUUGUUGGGGGGGUAGUGGCUUACCACGGCUUUGACGGGUAGCCGGCCUGGGAGGGUGACCGGCCAAAUUGGCAAUGGGAUGCGGCCGUGAGGCCUCCGGGACGAAGCAGUGGAGAAUAUUGCACAAUGGGCGGAAGCGUGAUGCAGCAACGCCGCGUGCGGGAUGCCGGCCUUAGGGUUGUAAAACGCUUUCGCCUGUGACGAAGCGUGAGUGACGGUAAUGGGGAAAGAAGCACCGGCAACCUACGU
rnacentral:rRNA from 1 species